GUCGACUUGGAGGUUGUGCCCUUGAGGCGUGGCUUCCGGAGCUAACGCGUUAAGUCGACCGCCUGGGGAGUACGGCCGCAAGGUUAAAACUCAAAUGAAUUGACGNGGGCCCGCACAAGCGGUGGAGCAUGUGGUUUAAUUCGAUGCAACGCGAAGNNCCUUACCUACUCUUGACAUCCAGAGAACUUUCCAGAGAUGGAUUGGUGCCUUCGGGAACUCUGAGACAGGUGCUGCAUGGCUGUCGUCAGCUCGUGUUGUGAAAUGUUGGGUUAAGUCCCGCAACGAGCGCAACCCUUAUCCUUUGUUGCCAGCGGUCCGGCCGGGAACUCAAAGGAGACUGCCAGUGAUAAACUGGAGGAAGGUGGGGAUGACGUCAAGUCAUCAUGGCCCUUACGAGUAGGGCUACACACGUGCUACAAUGGCGCAUACAAAGAGAAGCGACCUCGCGAGAGCAAGCGGACCUCAUAAAGUGCGUCGUAGUCCGGAUUGGAGUCUGCAACUCGACUCCAUGAAGUCGGAAUCGCUAGUAAUCGUAGAUCAGAAUGCUACGGUGAAUACGUUCCCGGGCCUUGUACACACCGCCCGUCACACCAUGGGAGUGGGUUGCAAAAGAAGUAGGUAGCUUAACCUUCGGGAGGGCGCUUACCACUUUUGUGANUUCAUGA
rnacentral:rRNA from 1 species